rnacentral:lncRNA from 1 species
CGGCUAUAAACACCCCAUUACAUCAGGGGCCACGCAGUCCAACACCUAUCACAAUCUGGCUACCCAAAGGAAUUUACUCUGCAGUGUGCUGUUUCAAUGCAAUGACAUCACAGACACCGGCAGGGUUCCUACCCAGCAUGAGAUAGACACAGCUCCCAGCAUCAUCUGGCACCCAGCAAGUUCACCUCUGGAACUUCCUCAAGCUCUUUCUGGAAGUGACACAGAGCUGCUCAGUGCCCCGGCACUCAGGUUCAGUUUGGACAAGGAUUUUGGAUGUCCGCAUAGAAGAGCUGUUUGAACACAGGGGUUUAGUUUGGUGUUUUACUAAAUAAACUUUGCAUUUACAAACAGAUCUGAGUUUGGAGUUUUGCAGGUUCCUUCGUGCUGGGCUGUAGGAUA